rnacentral:rRNA from 1 species
CGUAAGGCGCCGAAUGAGUCAUUAAAAAAAUUAACAUCAUCCGAUCCCUAGUCGGCAUAGUUUAUGGUUAAGACCACGACGGUAUCUGAUCGUCUUCGAUCCCCUAACUUUCGUUCUUGAUUAAUGAAACAUCCUUGGCAAAUGCUUUCGCAGUAGUUAGUCUUCAAUAAAUCCAAGAAUUUCACCUCUGACAAUUGAAUACUAAUGCCCCCAACUAUCCCUAUUAAUCAUUACGUCGAUCCUAGAAACCAACAAAAUAGAAUCAAACGUCCUAUUUCAUUAUUCCAUGCUAAUGUAUUCAAGCGCGAGCCUGCUUU